rnacentral:misc_RNA from 1 species
AGAACACCUUUCUCACUCCCCUUCCCUGAGUUUGGGCAUCUGUGAAGCAGUACCAGCCGCGGAGUGUGUUGUCCACGGCGCGCGCCAGCACCAAUGGCCUCGGACUUCACCGCGCUGCGUGCGAACUGCAUCGCACUUUUUGAUACAGCGAUGCCGCCACUCCUGCGUGGCUCCGUCCCCCCCGCGCCCUCGGUCGGCGCUGUCUCUGCCCCUCGACACGACCUUUUUUCCGUCGUCUCAGGCCUUCGCGCUGAAGGUGCUAACGGCGGCGGCGCUGUGGGGCUGAGUGCUGCACCACUGACCACCAUGCUGGCGAACCGCAGCGUGGAGGCGGCACUGCUGCGGCGGGAAUGGGAGCUGCGCAGCGAGUACUACCGACUGUACGCCGAAGACCAGUGGCACAUACGCCAGCAGCGGGAGACGAAGCGCCGCCAGGACGAUGAGGCGGAGCGGCAGCGCGUAAUGGAGCUGUCUCGGAUGAUCGAAGAAGAACGUGCGCGGCGUGUGGCGGAACAGCAGGAGCGCCUUCUCCAGAAGGAGCGAGAGCUCGAGGAGUGGAAGCUGGAGCGGCUGAAGGAGGCCGAGACAGCGCGUCGUCGGCAACAGGAGGAGGACGAGCGGCGCCGCGAGCUGCAGCACGAGCGCGAAUUGGCCCGCAUCAAGGAGGAAGCGGCCUCGCGCGCAGUCGCGGCGCAGAAGGCAGAGGAAGUGAUGGCGGCGGUAGAGCAGUCGUUGCAGAAAAUGCAGAGCACCAUGCAAGAACAGCUGCGCGAGGAGGUGCGCGUGCUGGAGGCGGCGCACAGGUCUGAGCUCACACGUCGCGAGGAAGAGUGGGUGCAUCGCGUGAAUGCGAUGGAGGUGAACCGAAGCACGGAGCUGGCCGAGCUGACACACCAGCUGAAGCUCGAUCAGACGCGCGCCACCCGCAGCGAGGAGCAGCUGCGCGAAGCCCGGAACCAGCUUACGAAGCUCCUGCAAGAGGUCGAUCAGCUGCGCCUGCAGCUUCAGUCAAGUGGCCCGCACUCCGAACGGGAUCGUGAGGCGGCGCAGCAACUGGCGGCGACGCAUCGCAGCGCCAUAGAGCGUCUGCAGCAAAUGUACGACGAUGACAAGAGGGCACAGCAAUACCGCUACGCCGAGGACCGCGACCGCGCCAAGUAUGAGCAAGACCGCCGCCUUGAGGAGCUGAAGGACGGCCACGCUGCGGCGAUACGCUGCAAGGACAGCGAAAUCGACCGCCUCAUUUCCCGUGUUCGACAGCUAGAGUCCGAGUUGCAUGAUGAAAGCGUGAAGCUGGCGCUGCUGCGCACGAGCGGGGAGCAGGCGAUCUCCACGGAUAUCGAGAACGCUCGCAUGAAGGAUGAGGUGCGACAGCUGCACACAGCCAAGGCGGAGCUGGAGGAGAUCAAAAAACGGCUGGAGCGCAAUCUGCGCGAGGCGGAAGCGCGGGUGGAAAGUCAGAGCAAGCAGCUGCGGGAGCUGCAGACUGACACGGCGUCGGGCCAGCGGCAACUCAUGGCAGAGCGGGAGGAGCUUCGGCGCGACAACACCGACCUCAAGAGCCAGCUCGCAAUGGCCCGCAAUGGUUACGAGGAGGAGGUGGAGCGCCUGCAGAAAAAACUGAGGAGCGCAGAGGAGGCGGCCGCGAAGCUUAACGUGCCGGAUAUGAAGCAGAACGCGUGCAACGCGGUGGAGAGGGCUGAGGAGGCUCGUCGCAGCGCCGAGAAAAACCUUGCCGAGGUGACGCGCAAGCUGAAGCUCGCCGAGGAGGAGGUGCAGUCGUCGAAGCGUAGUGCUGAGGCCGCGCAGCGUGAUGUGGCCCAGGCACGGAACCGCAUCCAAGAACUGCAGGCGAAGCUAGAGGAGCGCUCUGCGCAGGUGCGCACGCUGGAGACGGAGGUGCAGGGUAACGUCAGUUUGAGCUACGAGGCGCGGGAGGCCAAGGAGCGGGUGGAACGGCUGCAGGCCGAGUACGACGCGGAGCGCGAGUCGCGCCGUCGGCAGUACGAGGCCGCCUUGGAAGCGAAGGACCGAGAGGUGCAGCAGUGCCGCGCCGAUCUGCUGGAGGUGAACAAGAAGUUGCACGCGCUGCGAGAGGAGAGCGCCAGCUCCAAAUUUGACAAGGAGGACCACCAGCAAAGACUGACUCGCCAACUCAGGGAGAGGGAGGAGGAGGUGGCGCAGCUACGCCGGCAGCUCGAGGACAGCCGCCAGUCGCUUGAGCAGUGGAAGGCGACGUACGAUGAGCUGCAGCAGCGCAGCUGCACCAGCACAGACAGUUACCAGAAGGCUGUUCGCGAGCGGGAAGAAGAGUUACAGGAGUGCCGUCGCCGACUGCGCCAGGUGCAAGAGGAGAAGGCAGAGCUGGAGCACCGUAUGCGUGCCGAGGAAACCGUACGAAUCUCCGCCACUGCGCAGAGCAGCGACGCGCAACGAAUAAUGGGCGAGCGGGAGGAGCAGAUUGAGCGGCUGGAGCGCGAGGUGCGGGAUUCGCGGGCACAACCGGUGCCGCUGUCGGCCCCGGCCGUGCCUGUCGUGUCAUCUAUUCCGCUCUCUGGGCCGCCUCCUCCGCCGCCGCCCUCUGCACCGAAAGUUCCUCCCCUGUCCCACGCGGCACUGAUGGGGACGCCCUCGAUCGCGGCCGGCACGACAGCGGCCUCGUGCGGAGCCGCACCGUCGGUGACGCCGUCCGCGAACGCGUCGAAAGCGCCUGGGGUGCCGGCUGUGCACGGUGCCGAUGGUCGCCCAACUAGAGUCCCCCCGGAACUUGCCAGCAUUUGGGACGGCUCUCACCCGCCGCCGCCGCCGCCUCCAUCGAUUCCUGCUGCAGAGAAGCCACCGGCCGUGGCCUUGCAGCUGACGCACUCCCUCGACCACGGCACGACCAUGGCCGAUGGCACGACGGAGGGAACUCCGCUGAGCAUCCCUGUGCCGGUCUCGCUGUCGCUGUCGUCUUUCCAAGUCGGCCGGCGGAGUGGCGAAGGCCCGUCGCUGACGGUCGCCGUGCCCACCCCUGCCGGCGCUCUUUCCCACACCACGUCACCGGCGCAGUAUGCCAUCUCGCCAACUCCGGUGACUGUGGCUCCGCGCAGCCCACAUGGAGGAUCUGCCGCAUUGCAGGCGGCACACGCGCCGCCUGUCCCCAUACCGCCGCCUCUCCUACCCGCGCCCGCGACCGCGACCACCAACGGUUCUACCGGCUCCUACUUGAUCUCCUCCCCCGCGGUACCGCCGCCGCCACCUGUCCCGUCCGUGACCGAGGGCAUCCACAGCGGCGGCGUUGGUGGCGCCCCACUGGUGCCAGUGCCGGCGAUCUCUCCUUACGCCGCUGUACCGGUGCCUAAGGUCAGUGUCCCGAGUGUCGCGGUACCUGCCCCUUCCAGCAGCUCACCAUCCCCCUCAACUGGCGGGUACAGCGCGCCGCCGCCACCUCUGCCGAUCCCGGUGCCGCUAACAGCGCCGUCCUCGACAAGCACGUCCCUCCCCGCGGCCUCGGGUAGCGUGGACAUGGAUGGCCGACACGGCCACCGUAGCCGUCGUCAUCACCGCAGUUGAGCGGAGUGGCGCAGGAGGGACAAGGAGCGGCUGCCGCCGCUUAUCCUUGACCCUGUCCCCGUGUACCGCUUCUUUAGGCCCAUGUGUAGGUGUGCCGGUUGCCAGUCAAUGAGCGUCUGCGUCUGUUCUUGCGCGAAGGUGGCGAGCUCGUUGAUGGGGCGCUCGGUCCACAGCUGUCGAAUCAGCGGCGCCACCGCGUCGGCUCCGCGCUGUGUGAUGGUGCGCGCCGAGGGUCGUUUCCGCACUCCGUCCUCCCAUCCUCGCCCCCUUCCCUUCUCCCCACUGUACGAUUACGUUGCUGCUGCUGCUUUUAUGUAUGCAUGGAAAUACGUCCAUGUGUGCUCGCCCGUCUGCGUCGGUGUCAGUGCUCUGCUUUCGGUGCCCCAGUUGCCGAUGCGUGCGUGUGCGCCCGCUUUCGAGACAAGUCCGUCUUACUCCCCUCCCCUUUCUGUAUAGGGUAUGCUCUGCGUGAGUGGUGUCGAGGGAUGGGAAGAGGCCGAGGCGGAGAGAGGCAGGCGGAGGUUGGCGGCUCGGGCCCUUCUCCUCCCCCGCUCGCCCGCCCGCCCGCCCCCGAACACGUUGCAACUCCCCUGAGCAGCAUACAUAUACCACAGGGAUGCCAGCGCCCCCCUUCUUCUUCCUUCUCUCGAAAAAUGUUGUUGGCUCCUCGAGUUCCUCGCAGGCCGCGUCCAUCCGUCACGCACACACGAAUGAGGGAAUGAGAAGCGCAACGCCGAACGAUACGCCCCACACUCGCGUGUGUGUGUGUGUGUGACGGAUCGACACCCACAGGGGGGGAGGGGAGGAGCACAGGGAAGGGCGCGUCGUGUUUAUCGAUGUCUCGCCUUCCUCCUCCUCCCCUUCUCUCCCCCAGAUGCUCCCGCUCACGUCCGCCAGCCAGCCAGCCGGCAUGACCACUGCUGGCCGCCAUCUCUGCCCCUCCUGCCUCUUCUCUCGUCCACACACAAUGCCCGUGCGUGGCGCCGGAUAGAAGACGAGGAGAACAACGUACAAAAAAGAGGAGCCACCUGACAUGACGGCUGCCCCUCUCCACCCCUCCCCCCUUCUCUGCCUGCUGCCAAGACGCGUAGAAAGCGGAGGAGGAGGCGGAAGGUGGGGGGGGGUGGGCGCGUGCCAGUGGGGUAGCGGGCGCACUCUCGUGUCUCUCUGCGUCUUCCGUUGCCAACCUGUAAACCACGUAGGUGCGUUGGCGCGGCGAUCGCAGUUCCCCCAGCGAUUCCUUCUGUGACGCACCGACGCGGACCGCGUCGCUGCCUCUGUGCCCACUGCCUGGUGCUCCCCCUUCUCGUUUCGGCUCAUGACACACACUCCUGCUGCACUUCCGACCUCACGCUUUCCGAUGUCCCCCCUUCAUUCCCCAG